GAUUCUUUAAUUUUCACUGACUUGUGCUGUUUUGCUAGGGCGUAACUGGCUUAAUUUAGUCCUCUGGCUUGUGAAAUAUUUGCAUGUGAUCUUUUGAGUACAGCCUUGGUUCUUAGAGUCCUUGCAGCAGAGAGAGCCACAAUCCAUAGAUUUCAAGAAGGAACCCAGGGUGGGCAGUGGUGGGGGCUGCAGCGUGAGGAUGCUACUUGGGUUCUGGCCAUUGACUCUGUCAUGGAAGUCCUGGAGGUAAUUUCCCCUUAUUAUUGAACUUGAAACAGCUAGGGUAAAUAAAGCAGAUUUUAAUCAACUGCAUUAUAAACAAAAGGCACAGAUGGCAGGGAGAGAUUGACUGACAACAGCAAAGUCCCUGAGGCUCUCUUGAACACCCCUGGGGGGGGGGUGAGAAAGACUGAGGCCCCCUCCUUUGUUUUGUUCUUGGCGUUUAUGAAUUCCAGGAACUCCUUUUCUUCAAGUACAGAGCUGCCAUCAACAGGAUGUUAGGAGGUGAAUGCUCUUCCAAGCCACAGAGAAAACACUCUCACUUAGGAUCUGAAUAGGUCAAGGGGCCAUCGGCCAUCCAAAGGGCCAGGGUUUACAUGAACUGAACAAAUGGAGGUUGAGGGAGGACAGCUGGAAUAACAAGGAAGAAAUAAGAAAGAACCACGAGAGAAGCUUCAUAAAUCUUAAAAUCAAGAUUCAGCGUUGCGUUAACGUCAGGGCCACUGCUGUUUGUGGGGUCACCUGAAGCAAACAAGACCAGUCAUAUUGCUGGAUCCUGCCACUAAUUUUUAACCACAGUGAAAUGACUGAAGGUGAAGCAGAGUCCUUUUCCAAGACUUCAAGAAGUGGAGUUAAACUGGGCGCCGGGGCGCAUGCCUGUAACCCAGUAAAGGUACCUUUGGCAACCUACCUGACCUGUGCUCGGGAGGCUGAGGCAAGAGGAUCGGGAGUUCAAAGUCAGCCUCAGCAACUCAGUGAGGCCCUAAGCAACUCAGCAAGAAACCUGUCUCCAAAUAAAAUACUUUUUAAAAAGAGGCUGGGGAUGUGGCACAGUGGUUAAGCACCCUUGGGUUCAAUCCCAGUACCAAAACUAAAACAAAGACAAACAAACAAAAUGUGGUACGAAGACAGUCUAUCCCACGCAUGCCACAAGAUCUGUGGAUGUUUCCAACCUGGAAAACUUGGAGAGAGGUGGACCUAGGUAGAAAUGAGCGCCAAGGUGGAAAGAACUGAACUGAAUGCUGACAUGGGGACAAACUGGAUCCUCUGGGCUAUCCGAGACCGACGGGGUCAGUGAGAACAAACUUUCCAAAGGACUUGUUGCGUGUAACUCCUGUGAGUUAGAGAAACAAUAGUACACAGCCAGGCCGUCGUUCUCAAAGUGUGGCCCUGGGACCCUGGAGAGGGUGCCUAGAUCCUUCCAGGGGGGUCUGCAGGGUCACAGCUAUUUCCAUCAUAAUACGAAGGUAUUCUUGGCCUUUUUCAGUCUUGCUUUUUUUGUACUCAAACAGUGGAGUUUUCCAGAGACUAUAUGACAUGUGAUAUCACAACAGACUGAAUGAAGAAGCAAAUUUGAGAAUCCAGCUGGCUUCUGUCAAGUCAGACAUUAAAGAGAUUUGCAAAAAAAAAAAAAAAAAUGUAGAGCAAUGUGAUUCUUUGAGUGAGUUGGGUUUUUUUUUUUUAAGUUUUUGAAAAUA
rnacentral:lncRNA from 1 species